GACGAACGCUGGCGGCGUGCCUAAUACAUGCAAGUAGAACGCUGAAGAGAGGAGCUUGCUCUUCUUGGAUGAGUUGCGAACGGGUGAGUAACGCGUAGGUAACCUGCCUUGUAGCGGGGGAUAACUAUUGGAAACGAUAGCUAAUACCGCAUAACACUUGAUGCCACAUGUCAUUUAUUUGAAAGGGGCAAUUGCUCCACUACAAGAUGGACCUGCGUUUUAUUUGCUAGUAGGUGAGGUAAUGGCUCACCUAGGCGACGAUACAUAGCCGACCUGAGAGGGUGAUCGGCCAAACUGGGACUGAGACAAGGCCCAGACUCCUACGGGAGGCAGCAGGAGGGAAGCUUCGGCAAUGGGGGCAACCCUGAACGAGCAACGCCGCGUGAGGGAAGAAGGGUUUCGGAUCGGAAAGCUCGGUUGUAAGUGAAGAAAGGGAGUGAGAGUGGAAAGUGCACACUGUGACGGUAGCUUACCAGAAAGGGACGGCUAACUACGUG
rnacentral:rRNA from 1 species